UAAAAAUCUAAUUGGCAGAAUAAGUGCAUUAAGUUUAAGUCUUAAAUAUAUAUAUAUAUAUAUAUUCAUAAUUAAUUAUCCUUCACCUU
rnacentral:tRNA from 1 species